GACGAACGCUGGCGGCGUGCCUAAUACAUGCAAGUUGAGCGCUGAAGGUUGGUACUUGUACCGACUGGAUGAGCAGCGAACGGGUGAGUAACGCGUGGGGAAUCUGCCUUUGAGCGGGGGACAACAUUUGGAAACGAAUGCUAAUACCGCAUAAAAACUUUAAACACAAGUUUUAAGUUUGAAAGAUGCAAUUGCAUCACUCAAAGAUGAUCCCGCGUUGUAUUAGCUAGUUGGUGAGGUAAAGGCUCACCAAGGCGAUGAUACAUAGCCGACCUGAGAGGUGAUCGGCCACAUUGGGACUGAGACACGGCCCAAACUCCUACGGGAGGCAGCAGUAGGGAAUCUUCGGCAAUGGACGAAAGUCUGACCGAGCAACGCCGCGUGAGUGAAGAAGGUUUUCGGAUCAUAAACUCUGUUGGUAGAGAAGAACGUUGGUGAGAGUGGAAAGCUCAUCAAGUGACGGUAACUACCCAAGAAAGGGACGGCUAACUACGUGCC
rnacentral:rRNA from 1 species